AUGGAGAGCACAGCCCUCAGGUUGAUCACGGGACUCGGGAGUUUUGAGGUUCAACCCAAGCUGUUCAGGAUAUUCAAUGAAUCAGGGAUGCCAGGGUUCUUGUCCAAUGAGUCGGAGGAACUGAGCAUGGUGCUGGUUCUCACCAUAGCCCGGGCCAUGCAUGUCACAGCCAACUUCCCCCCCGAGUCUGGCCGAGUUCUUCCAGGCCAAUUAAGCCCCAACACCGAGAUGACAAAAACACGCUCAAACGCAACGUGGAGGCUGAGUAUAAAAAGUGGAAAAUUCCUGCGGGACCACCUAAAGCCAGUGGUGAAGAUGGAGGAACAGUUCCUGUAUGUGAGCCACCUGGUGGAGCCGUUCCUACAGAGGCUCCACUACCAGUGGACCCGCAGUCUGAUGGAGUUGGUUGUGGAGCUUUACGAGAUCCUGGUCAACGUGGACAAGUCAUGUGACCAUCUCCGGUACCUUGACCCAAUUACAGACUUCCUAUACCACAUCAAGUACAUGUUUGUGGGGGACAGUGUGAAGAAUGAGAUUGAGAAGAUUAUCCGUAACUUCCGGCAGGCCCUGACCUUGAGAAGAAGACAGUGGGUAUUACAGAGUUCAUUCUGUGGAUUGUGUGUAUUCACUUUGUGUAGCAGUCUGCUGAGAAGUACCUGUAGAUAUUGUCAUGCCCCAAGGUCAGUGGUGACCUUGUUAACAGACAGAAUCCCGAGUUUGGUCUAAUCUUGUUAAUCAAGACACUGCCAACAUUAGAUCUUGUAUUGCUGUAAUUAUGGAUGGGUCUCAACAU
rnacentral:sRNA from 1 species